rnacentral:lncRNA from 1 species
UAAAAGAAGAUGAGUCCUUUUUGUUCUACUAAUGUAAAUAAUCGUGAAUUACCUCCUACUUCUGAAAAUAUAGAAAUCGACUAAGUGGACAUGAAUUUAAUUUCAUCAACAAUACAUAGAAGAUAAAAAUUCUUAUAAUGAUAUUUCUCCAGAGGUAAAACAUCUAAAGGAUAUUAAUACCAAUCGACAAAGCCAACUUGGAGUCUAUGAAGCAGAAAUAAAGGAAUUAAAAAAGAAGUUGAAGGAGAAAGAUGUCAAAAUUCAGGACGCAAAAUCAAAGUUUUAAGUCUUAGAAAUGCACCUCUCUUCGGUAUUUAAUUAUAACCAGAUACAUUUUUUAAGUUGCAAGUCUUCACAUUCCAAAAUCCGCCUUUUGUAUGAUAAAACCAUCGAUAAUUCACUUCAGUUAAGAUUUGUUGUGGAACUAUAAGUCGUUCAAUAGAGGAUUAAUCUAUUGUAUCAAUAACUGUUUGGAUGAAUAUGCAAAAAUAGAGACGUUAUUCAAAUCUUAUCAAUUAAACAAAAAUUUAAAAAAAUUGUAAACUCAAUAACUGAAGUAGCGGUUCCAUUCGUCUAUAAAUAUCCCCAAAUAUCAUAAAAUUUUAUAUAUCAUUGUCUUUAAGUAUGUUAGGAUAAGAAUGCACAUAUAUUUACGAUCAUGGGUAACUUCGUAUAGAACAUAUUCUUAUAAGGACAUUUCGUAUAAAAACAAUUUCGUUUAAGUUUAUGAAGAAACGGGACAUAGACUUUACUAAUCGUCAUUCUGUUUUCGGGUACCAGCGAUACUUAUGUCACAACUAAGAGACCCUUACAAUCCCUCCAUUGUAUCCCAAAUGUUGGCGGUGUUUUCGGGUACUGCUGGGUCCCAAAACGGGAUGCAACCCACCACCGAUACUUGACAAACUACUAAGAGCCCCUCACAACCCCCAAUCAUACCCCAAACAUAUAGCUGAUAAUAAUUUUAAGCCAAUGAGAACCCGAAAGCAUCACCAAACAUUCGCAGUAAAAUUGGGGGUGGGGGUUCUGAAGGGCUUUUAAUUAUUUUUUCAAGUAUGGGCGGUAAGUUGCAUUCUGUUUUGGAACCUGGAGGUACCCGAAAACAACCCCAAACAUUCGGGGUACAAUUGGGGGAGUUGUGAGAGGUUCUUAGGAGUUACUUAAGUAUCGGCGGUACCAAAAAAAACUCCCAACACUCAGUGUACAAAAUGUCAAUUCAUAAAGUUGUCUAUCCCCGUUUCCUCAUUGAUUUAUACGAAAUUCUUUUUAUACGAAAUGUCCCAAUACGGAAAUGUUUUAUACGAAUUGUCCUCAUACGACAUUGUACACCAUACAUUUACGAAUGCAAACUGUAUAAUUAUCAAAGAAAAUAGAAUAACUUCUUCUACUUUCGGAAGCCAAAGCAUGUGUAUGCGAAAUAAAGUAAAUUAAAUAAAUUAUUAUGAAAUUUACUAUUCCAUUUGUUUAUAAUAAUUAAUCGUGUAUGUAAGCUCAAUAAAAUAUUUUUUAUAGUAUUCA